ACAGGUGCUGCAUGGCUGUCGUCAGCUCGUGUCGUGAGAUGUUCGGUUAAGUCCGGCAACGAGCGCAACCCACAUCCCUAGUUGCCAGCAGUUCGGCUGGGCACUCUAUGGAAACUGCCCGUGAUAAGCGGGAGGAAGGUGUGGAUGACGUCAAGUCCUCAUGGCCCUUACGGGUUGGGCUACACACGUGCUACAAUGGUGGUGACAGUGGGUUAAUCCCCAAAAGCCAUCUCAGUUCGGAUUGGGGUCUGCAACUCGACCCCAUGAAGUCGGAAUCGCUAGUAAUCGCGUAACAGCAUGACGCGGUGAAUACGUUCCCGGGCCUUGUACACACCGCCCGUCACACCGUGGGAGUUGGUUCUA
rnacentral:rRNA from 1 species